UAUGAGCUUUGAAGACAACAUAAAGAG
rnacentral:piRNA from 1 species